rnacentral:rRNA from 1 species
AUUGAACGCUGGCGGCAGGCCUAACACAUGCAAGUCGAGCGGCAGCGGGAAGUAGCUUGCUACUUUGCCGGCGAGCGGCGGACGGGUGAGUAAUGUCUGGGAAACUGCCUGAUGGAGGGGGAUAACUACUGGAAACGGUAGCUAAUACCGCAUAACGUCGCAAGACCAAAGAGGGGGACCUUCGGGCCUCUUGCCAUCAGAUGUGCCCAGAUGGGAUUAGCUAGUAGGUGGGGUAACGGCUCACCUAGGCGACGAUCCCUAGCUGGUCUGAGAGGCUGACCAGCCACACUGGAACUGAGACACGGUCCAGACUCCUACGGGAGGCAGCAGUGGGGAAUAUUGCACAAUGGGCGCAAGCCUGAUGCAGCCAUGCCGCGUGUAUGAAGAAGGCCUUCGGGUUGUAAAGUACUUUCAGCGGGGAGGAAGGUGUUGAGGUUAAUAACCUCAGCAAUUGACGUUACCCGCAGAAGAAGCACCGGCUAACUCCGUGCCAGCCGCCGCGGUAA